rnacentral:snRNA from 1 species
AUCGCUUCUCGGCCUUUUGGCUAAGAUCAUGUGUAGUAUCUGUUCAUAUCAGUUUAAUAUCUGAUACGUCUUCAAUGAGAGGACAUUAUAUUAAAUGGAUUUUGGGGUUCAGGAGUUUAUUUUAUUUAUUUAUUUAUUUUAAUUUUAACGGUUGGGCUUGAUGAUCUGAAGUCUUUUCCAACCUAAACUAU